UCCGCGCCGUAGCUAACGCAUUAAGUGCCCCGCCUGGGGAGUACGGCCGCAAGGCUAAAACUCAAAGGGAUUGACGGGGGCCCGCACAAGCGGCGGAGCAUGCGGAUUAAUUCGAUGCAACGCGAAGAACCUUACCAAGGCUUGACAUGGGCUGGAUUGCUUCGGAGACGGGGUUUCCCUUUUUGGGCUGGUUCACAGGUGGUGCAUGGUUGUCGUCAGCUCGUGUCGUGAGAUGUUGGGUUAAGUCCCGCAACGAGCGCAACCCUUGUCUCGUGUUGCCAGCACGUUGUGGUGGGGACUCGCGGGAGACUGCCGGGGUUAACUCGGAGGAAGGUGGGGAUGACGUCAAAUCAUCAUGCCCCUUAUGUCUUGGGCUUCACGCAUGCUACAAUGGCCGGUACAGUGGGUUGCGAUGCUGUGAGGCGGAGCGAAUCCCUGAAAGCCGGUCUCAGUUCGGAUCGGUGUCUGCAACUCGACACCGUGAAGUUGGAGUCGCUAGUAAUCGCAGAUCAGCAGCGCUGCGGUGAAUACGUUCUCGGGCCUUGUACACACCGCCCGUCACGUCAUGAAAGCUGGCAACACCCG
rnacentral:rRNA from 1 species